rnacentral:pre_miRNA from 1 species
AGGAGGAACAGCCCCAGUGGCGGGGCAGCUCUGGAAACCUGGAUUCAGCCCCUGCAGGAACUCCGGAGCUCUCCGUCUGCAGGGCCUGGAGGCUCCGGGCAGGG